AUGGCAGUACGCAAUUCAUCAA
rnacentral:piRNA from 1 species